AAGCAGGAAGACCCUGAUGGGGGUGCAGAGAAAGUAUGAGGAGCUGUAGGAAGGCAGUUCCCUCAAACGAGACCAACAUUGCUGUGCUUCCAUGUGUAAAUUCAACACCAGGACAACUGCAGAAAGGCAUCAUGAUAAUGACGAAUUUCUGGCUUAGUAGAUGAAGAAUCUGAUAUUCAAAGUAACUGAGUGGCUUCUUCAAGAAACCCACAACAUUUCAGGACCCAGUUCCCUGCCUUCCUGACCAGUUUAGACUACCUGAAAAAUGCAUUAAGAAAAGGAAAAAAAAUGACUAAAAUCAUUUAAUAGGUUUAAUUAUUAGCCUUUAAUAUACACCAUUACAGACACCAUUACACCAUUAUCUGAGGUUGAUCUGGUCUGGUAAGCAUGCAAAGAGAAUGUUUUAAUAGUUGAGAGUUCUGUAAAUGUUUUAUUGUAAAAAAGUAAUCCAAGUCU